UCCCUUCCCAGCUCCGUUCCCUUCCCUGGCCCCGCUCCAGCCCCUCCAUUCCCCGUGUGAGGGCCCAGAGGUGACCCAGCACUGGAGCUGUGGCCUCAGCAGGGCCAGCACAGGGCCGGGCACUGCCCCGCUCCCGCUGCCACCCACGGCUGGCACAGCCCAGGGGCCAUCGGCUCUUGGCCGCCUGGGCACCCCUGGGCUCUGUCCGGCUGCAGCUAUAAACCCCUCAUAAAUAAGGGAUUUUGAUGUUUCUUACAGGAAUCCACUUCUCCCUCACCCACAGGCUGCUCGCUGUGGUUUAAAAAACAGCCUUGGCCCCAGGUGCUGCCUGAGCACCCAGUGUGGGGCUGCUCUGGAGGAGUUUGGUAUCCAGGGAUCUCCCAGCUGCAGGAUGAGGGGGCAGAAGGGGCUGUCCAGGGAGAUGGUGGAAGUCACUGAAGUCCCUGGAAGAGUUUAAGGAAAGGCUGGAAGUGGAGCUCAGUACCAUGGUCUGGGUGGCACGGUGGUGUUCAGUCGUGGGCUGGACUUGAUGACCUCAGAGCUCAUUUCCAACCUAACUGAUUCCAUGAUUCUGCGAGUUUGCUUAUUUCAGGACUCAGUGCAAUUCCUCAGGUGGAGUCAGCCCAGCUUUGGAGUCUGGAUUUUCAUAUUCCUUGGCUGAUGCCAGUGUGGCUGAUGAAGUUUUGCUGCCAGUGAGAGGCACUCACUUUCAGGUUGAACAUUAAUUCUUCAGGAAAAACGGGAAUCCUUUUCCAAAUUUCCACUGCUAGGUGACAGCCCUUCAAACUGCAAAGAGAACAUAUUCCAGUCACAGGGGUGUAUAUAAUUAAAGUAAUUAAGGCAUAGCUGGGAGCUCCUGCUUUUCCCACAUGAUGCCUUUGCUGACACAAACCAUUAUCUCUGUUUUUUCCUUCCCUGCCAUUUACUAGAAUUUGCUCCUUUUCCACUGGAAAAACAGAAAAGCUGGGCAGCAAGAGUGAUAGCAGCUGGUAAAAAAUUCUACAGCACCUGCUGGAACAUAAAAUUGUCAGCACAGUAGGAUUACAACCCAGGGUAAUUUUACACUGCAGCUGGCACUGGUGUGAAAGGGUCUGUGUUCACAGGCAGUGCGAGAGACAAAGUUUGGAGGUUUUAUUGUUGGACACACUGAGCCCUCUGCAGGUGUUUGGUGCUGGCUUUGGUUCUGUCUGCUUCCAGAAUUCAGUUUGGUGCUUGGUUUUAAAUCAAGGAGUUUUUAUUGCGUUAUAAAAAGUUGUGGUAUCAUCCCUUCCCCACCCUCGUAUAUUUGUCUUGCAGUUGGUCUGCCUCAAGCACAGCACUUUUCUCUCCUGACAGAGGUAUGGGUAAGUGAAGUGUUCCCUUUCACCUCCCAAAUCAAAAGGAUAUAUUAAAAAUCCAAACUAUUUGUAGGGAGGCCUUCCUUUCCCCCCCAGAAGCCUCAAGAUUCAUUUUUUUUGUUGUUGAAACCAUUGCAUUUCAGAUUCCUGGUCUACCACAUGAGAUUAAACUAGAUGGUGCUGAUUUAGCAGACAAGAUUGGCUCAUACUAUUAAAAAAAAAAAAAAUGGAAACAAAUAUUGUAAUAGAAGCAGCUGGCCAGGUCAGUCUUCUUGUUGUAAUUACCCAGUGGAAAAAUUAAUGUUGAUUUUGCCUAUUCCAUGUUUAUUUUUUACCAGUCUGUGUUUUCAGGUUGCUGCUUCAACGUAAUUGAAAAAAAAAAUUGAUGUAGCAUUUACUAUGCACAUAAAAUUCUAAUAGUUGAAUCUAUUAAUAUGUCAUUAUUAAAAAAAACCCCAAACUUGUGUUGGUUUCAACAGCAAGACUAGCUUCCAUAAAGAAAUAAGUAAUAAUUGCUGCUGCCAGACUUCCCUGCAAUUUUUUAGAUCUGAGAUUUCUUUCUGGUGCUCGUGUGAUUGAAUUCUUCCUGCUGGAUUAGUCUGGAAAAAGGAAGAGAGUAAUGAUGGGUGUUCAAACUGUGCCUGGGCCGAUGAAACUGAAUAUCAGCACUGUUCCUCUUUACUCAGGACAGCUCCAAACAAACAAAAAAGGAAUGUGGUGUUUACCCGUGUGACUCAGCCCUGCCUCUGACACACCUCUAAAACACAUCAAAAGUACCUUCCACAAGGGUUCAAAAUGCCACUGCAGCUACAAUUUAUUCAUUUUAAUUUACUAAUUUUUUUGCAGUCAGCAUAAAUUGUGUCUAUGUGGCUUGUACACAACUUACAGACCCAACAGAUUACACCUCUUGGAUUCACCUCUUCAAAAUGUGGAAAGUAUUUCAAUAACUGAGACAUUUUAAAACAAAAGCCUUCCAACAUACACCAUUUAGUAGCAAAGGUUUUUUUCUGUACACUGAUUUAAGUUUGGAGAAAUUUGCAUAGGUCCUGUAAUUCCUAAUAAAGGAACCAAUUUUGCUGUUGCCAACCUUGUACUGCUAAAACAGAUUUUAUAUGUACAUAUAAUAAUUUGUAUUUAUACCAUAUUUACUUUUAAAGUGGACAGGAAUCACAGUGAAUACAUUCUGCAUAUGUGUCCAUAGACUGAGGGUUACCUCAGCGAUUCAGAUAUUGCUCUCCUAAAGAAAAUAUAAAAAUAUUUAAAUUUAUAUUACCUACCCUGAGUACUUAUGAGAAAAUACUGUCUGAUUAUUUCCACCUGGGGAAUGUCUGCCAAAGAAGAGUCAAAAUAAAAUUUGCUUCCGUCUGGGCUUUCAAGAAACCAAGCAAAACAACAAAAAAUGAAUAGAAAUGUUUUUUUAUUUUUCUUUAACAGCCAUGGCAGGAGGAGAGAGCACGGGGGUGUCUGCAGCUGUUUAGAAAAAGAGCAAAAUCUGGAGACUCCUCACAUGAGCAGAUGGGGAGAAGCCCAAAAUGGGAAGAAUAAUUGGAAGAAUACAUUUGGGACGCAGACACACAACGUGUGCCCGUGACAGGCUGGAACAUCAAGGAGUGCUGGGGCAGGGGAAGCAGAGCAGGAGAAGCAGAAGCAAAAAGAACCAUCACAAGAACUGCCCCUGCUCUGGUUUUCAUCACCUAAAUCAUCAUCUAAACCACCACUCUCCAGCUUGCCUUGCUUGGGCAGCUGCUGAGCCAGGCAGGGAUAUGUGUUUGAAGAGAUAAACACGUGGGGUGGGCGUUGGGUUUUGGCUGAGAACAGCCCAGGGAGUUGUCUACCCGCGCUGCAGAGCUGCCCACAGGGGAGAAGCAGUGAUAUGGCUGUUGGCUGUGGUUGAAAUCACUCCCCACAGUGAUUGCAAAACACAGAGAGAGAGAGGGGGAGAAGCUGUGGAAGGUAAAGGAGAAGCAGGAACUCGUAAUUGCACAGUGCCACAUGAAGGUCAGGUUAG